GUGAAUUUCCACAUAGCAUUUCCACUCAUUAGGUGUUAACAGUCUUUCUGUUUCUAAAUAACACAACAAAUAUAAUAUGAGAAGGCGAUAAAAGAGAAAGCAUCUUUCUUUUUACACCCGAGUUCAAGCUCAAACUAGACUUCAUCUCGCGGCUUCAAACUAGCUGGUAAUCUGCACCACAUAUCUUUCUGACUUCUCAGAAAGACCGAUUGCAAAUAUAGGAGUUUCCGGCCAGAGAUUCAUCCAAUAUCUGCUACUCAAUGCGGAAUCAUGCUGAGGAUAUCCAUACACAUCAAAUGCAGAUAUAUCUACUAGUAAAGCAACAGAUUUUUACUCAAAUUUUCCAGUUCUGAGGUAGAGUUGGACUCCUCUAAAAGUACUUGUCAACUCUAAGCACUGUUUUCCUUUAGAUGAGUAGAAUUGAUUGUGUAUUUUGUCAAAUAUUCAUGGGAGUCAUAAUAUGGUGUAUUCACGAUUCACAUUUGCUUCUUUUUAACACGAUAUGGGUAUUUUUGGUAUGUGCUUAUGCUAAUCAUAACCAAUGGAAGUGCCACGAGGCAGUAUGGCGAAGGAAGUUUUCCAUCGAAGAUGAACUGGAGCAAAGCAGUGACAAGAAGCGCAGACACAAUGACAAAUCCCUUCCUAACACCACCGGCAUAUGAAGUCACAAGACCCACAAGAAUUCCACCAACGGCAUUUAGAAUAACAGGGAUCAAGGUUAAUGCAGUCCAUCCAUAGAAGAAUCCAUGCUGUCUAAUAGCUUCUCCGUCUGGGGACUUGGAAGUACUACUUAUCAAACAGAGACUCCCAAUAAUGGACAUCUCAACAGUCAUCAGGUAAGAUGAGUGUUUCUUAACCUGAGAUGCCCAUUGACACAAGGCAGAUGCCAAACCAGAAAGCACAGAUGCAACCAAAACUGGUACAAUUCCAUAGAAUAAGAUCUCAUCGGGGUUACUACUACUGGAAGCUUUGCUGGAGCCUUCACCAACACUUAAAAGGACAGCUGCCAUGAUUAACAAGAAAAGAGCCCCAAUUU
rnacentral:misc_RNA from 1 species